AAAUAUAUUGUACAUAGUUUAAAUAGAUGUUCUAAGAAAAUACUGUCUAGAGAUAUCGUUGAAUCGUUAAGUACCAGUGGCAAUAUCAUUGUGUUGCAGGGUGGGGCAUUUGAACGGCUUUCUUUGCAUGCUCGUAAGACUAAUGUUUCAUUCCCCCGCAUGAGAAGAUGGUCAUCCUUUAAUUGAAGGACCUAAAAAAUUGAAGUGUUGUUCCAGACAACAGAUGUAUGUUUCGGUUGGUACCUAAGGCCGCAGGAUCGUCGAAACCCUGUCUGCCGCGAGACUUUCCAUAUGGAUGAGGGAGCGAUGCCUGAAGGAUCGAGGGCUAAAGAAACAAUAGCUGAAAACUCAGAUGACGACAGUUGGGAAGCAGCUACUAAGGAAAGAAUGUUGAAAAACAACAAAAGCUAAGAAAAUUGAAAGAGAAGAUUGCAUCUCUUAGGAAGGAAGUCUUUGAAUUUGGAAAAACUACAAACAUAGGAGAGGAUCGUCCUUCAAGUCAUAAGUCUGGUGUUGGUGAUGAAGUUGAGCACAAUGAAGAACCUGCAGGUGUAGCUGAUGAAGAAGCAACGAAUAAAGAAUUUGUUAGUUGUGUCGAUGAAGAUGCUGCAGGUGUAGUAGCAUUUGACCACCCACGGGUUGUGAUUGAAGUUGAUGAUGAUCAUGAUGAUGAAGGGGAUGGUAAUGAUGUACCAUUGGCUGAAUUUUGAAUUGCUAAGUUUUUGUGCCAAGUUUUAGUUCAAACAAGUCAUAUUAGUGAAAUAAAGUUGCUGAAAUGGUUUACAUUGUGUCAGAAUAGUUAUUGUGAAAUUUCACUCUUCAAACCACCACUUUGAGUCCAUUUAUUUCGUGCAAAUUGAAUCUUAUAGCACUGGUUUUUAUAAUUGUUUGCAAUUGCUUACAUUAGAUUGCAGUAAAAGCUUAGGAUCUGUAUUAACCAUUAUAAAAACAGUUUAAAAAACAAGAAACAUAAAUUUAUAGUCAAAAUAAAAGGCAAUUAGAUCCUAUGCAAUCUGACCAAAUAAGAAACUAGUAAUUUGCAUAAUUAACUGAGGUUCAUUAAGGCAAACAAUUUUGAAAUUUAGUGCUGGACUUUUAAUUUUUUUGUUUCUGAUUCAAUUUGUUGGCUUUUCUUGUUAUAUUAAUCUGUUUUAGAGCCCUUGGUAGGUAGGUUCUGUUGAGUGUAGUGCUUUCUAAUUGGUUGCUUGUACUUAUUGGAUUCUGGUUUUGUCCAAAUUGCAAAUUCUGAUCAGCUUGUUGUGUCUUUCUGGGUGCAAUUAUUUUGA